GAUGAACGCUAGCGGGAGGCCUAACACAUGCAAGCCGAGCGGUAGAGUUCCUUCGGGAACUUGAGAGCGGCGUACGGGUGCGUAACACGUGUGCAACCUACCUUUAUCUGGGGGAUAGCCUUUCGAAAGGAAGAUUAAUACCCCAUAAUAUAAUGAUUGGCAUCCAUUAUUAUUGAAAACUCCGGUGGAUAGAGAUGGGCACGCGCAAGAUUAGAUAGUUGGUGAGGUAACGGCUCACCAAGUCAAUGAUCUUUAGGGGUCCUGAGAGGGAGAUCCCCCACACUGGUACUGAGACACGGACCAGACUCCUACGGGAGGCAGCAGUGAGGAAUAUUGGACAAUGGGUGAAAGCCUGAUCCAGCCAUCCCGCGUGAAGGAUGACGGUCCUAUGGAUUGUAAACUUCUUUUGUACAGGGAUAAACCUACUCUCGUGAGGGUAGCUGAAGGUACUGUACGAAUAAGCACCGGCUAACUCCGU
rnacentral:rRNA from 1 species